CUCGUAGCAUAUAGCUCAGUAACACGUGGCCAAACUACCCUACAGACCGCGAUAACCUCGGGAAACUGAGGCCAAUAGCGGAUAUAACUCUCAUACUGGAGUGCCGAGAGUUAGAAACGUUCCGGCGCUGUAGGAUGUGGCUGCGGCCGAUUAGGUAGAUGGUGGGGUAACGGCCCACCAUGCCGAUAAUCGGUACAGGUUGUGAGAGCAAGAGCCUGGAGACGGUAUCUGAGACAAGAUACCGGGCCCUACGGGGCGCAGCAGGCGCGAAACCUUUACACUGCACGACAGUGCGAUAGGGGGACUCCGAGUGUGAGGGCAUAUAGCCCUCGCUUUUCUGUACCGUAAGGUGGUACAGGAACAAGGACUGGGCAAGACCGGUGCCAGCCGCCGCGGUAAUACCGGCAGUCCAAGUGAUGGCCGAUAUUAUUGGGCCUAAAGCGUCCGUAGCUUGCUGUGUAAGUCCAUUGGGAAAUCGACCAGCUCAACUGGUCGGCGUCCGGUGGAAACUACACAGCUUGGGGCCGAGAGACUCAACGGGUACGUCCGGGGUAGGAGUGAAAUCCUGUAAUCCUGGACGGACCAC
rnacentral:rRNA from 1 species